UGUGUGUGUGGAUCAGAAAAAUUGGCAGGUUCUAUAUGUGUGUGUAUGUAUUUGGCAGGUUGAAUUUGACAGGUUCUAUAUGUGUGUGUGGAUCAGAAAAAUUGGCAGGUUCUAUAUGUGUGUGUAUGUAUUUGAUAGGUUCUAUAUGUGUGUGUGGAUCAGAAAAAUUGGCAGUUUCUAUGUGUGUGCAUGUAUUUGGCAGCUUGUUUGAAUAGUUGUUGAAUUUGACAAAAAAAAAAAAAGUUUGCUGGAAAGAAAUGAUGAAGGCCAGGGAAAGAUAUUUGAUAUAUUCUUUGGAAUAGACGUUGAAUUUGACCCAAAAAAAAAAAUGGUUUGCUGGAAAGAAAUUAUAUAAAUGGUUGUGGUGCUUUAAAAUCCCUACCAAUGUCCAAUUGUACAUGCCUGGAAUAUGCAACUAUUGAGAGUUGUAGUUCUUUGAUGUUCAUUUCAAAACGCCAGCUACCUCCAACUUUGAAAAGUCUAGUGAUAAAUGAUUGCAAGAAUUUGCAAUUUUUGAUA